UAUAUUUGUUGCAGAAAACAGGCCUUGUCCCAAUCCAGGCUUUUUUUCAAAGACCAACUUGUUAAAAAUGAGUGAAAGGUAGGUACAGGUAGAGCAGCCUUCAGAAUGUCUUGUGAAUUUGCUAAGUUUGUUUGUAACUGAAGUAGGAAUGAGGCAUCAUCCCACUUGUCUUUACUGGACAGAUUCUGAUGCUUAACAUGGAAUGCAUGUGCACGUGGAGUGACAAGAAAGCUGGUGUCAAUGCCAGUCUUCUUCCAUGUGAUAAUCUUUGUUGUCUGCAUCAUCCUUUGAGCUUGACCAUCUCCUGGAGGCAAUUUUGAGGGCAAUUCAGAUAACCCAUUAGCUCACUGACUGCCGAAUAUCAACUGAGAAAAAUGGAUUCUUUCACUAGAACACAGCAUCAGACACUAUUUUAUCUAGAGAUCUGUCAAUUGCAAGCAAGUAUGAUUGUGCCAUAAAGAUCUAUUUUUUGCUGAUUGCUCAGAACCAAAGAUAAUUAUUUUACUUUUCACACUUUUGGAUUGCACUCUUGUAGGAAGGUAUGGAUUAUACUGCUGUAUCUUCAUUUGCUGUUUUUUAAAUGUUUUUCCCUGUAAAUCUCUAGAGCUUUUUUCUCUUGCCUCUUCCUUGUCUCCUUUCUAGUUGGAGGGAGGGCGGACACUGGGUCCUGUCGUAAAAUCCAGGCCAUGGAAGGAUAUAUCCCUGAACUUGGACAUUUUCUUCUGGAUCCCUCCUCUUCAGUAAGAAUAGAGAAUUGCUUCUGUAUACUCAUAUCUUUACUGGAUGUGGAAAAAAGAAGCUUGAUUCAGGCACAGUGGAAAAGAGCACCUUUCUUGGACGAAGGAAAGAUUAUUCCUCCACGUGUAAUAUGCAAAUAAAAGGUGACUGUAAUGAAAGAACCAUAAUUUAAGAGGCCACUAUGAACUAAACCAUAAUAAUAUGUCUAGGAUAUGGAGAAAAUGAGGGAUGAAGAACUUAGACCGAAAAAAGGAUGGAAUUUCAGCAAGGAAUUGUUUUUAGCUAUGAAUAAAAUAUCUGAUGCUAAUAUAAAUUAGGUUAUA
rnacentral:lncRNA from 13 species